AUGCAGUCGAACGGAAAGGCCCCGCUUGCGGGGUACUCGAGUGGCGAACGGGUGAGUAACACGUGGGUGAUCUGCCCUGCACUUCGGGAUAAGCCUGGGAAACUGGGUCUAAUACCGGAUAUGACCUUCCUUUAGUGUGGGGGGUGGAAAGAUUUAUCGGUGCAGGAUGAGCCCGCGGCCUAUCAGCUUGUUGGUGGGGUAAUGGCCUACCAAGGCGUCGACGGGUAGCCGGCCUGAGAGGGUGGACGGCCACAUUGGGACUGAGAUACGGCCCAGACUCCUACGGGAGGCAGCAGUGGGGAAUAUUGCACAAUGGGCGGAAGCCUGAUGCAGCGACGCCGCGUGGGGGAUGACGGCCUUCGGGUUGUAAACCUCUUUCGACAGGGACGAAGUGAAAAUGACGGUACCUGUAUAAGAAGCACCGGCUAACUACGUGCCAGCAGCCGCGGUAAUACGUAGGGUGCGAGCGUUGUCCGGAAUUACUGGGCGUAAAGAGCUCGUAGGUGGUUUGUCACGUCGUCUGUGAAAUUCCGGGGCUUAACCUCGGGCGUGCAGGCGAUACGGGCAAUACUUGAGUGCUGUAGGGGAGACUGGAAUUCCUGGUGUAGCGGUGAAAUGCGCAGAUAUCAGGAGGAACACCAAUGGCGAAGGCAGGUCUCUGGGCAGUUACUGACGCUGAGGAGCGAAAGCAUGGGUAGCGAACAGGAUUAGAUACCCUGGUAGUCCAUGCCGUAAACGGUGGGCGCUAGGUGUAGGGGACUUCCACGUUCUCUGUGCCGUAGCUAACGCAUUAA
rnacentral:rRNA from 1 species